rnacentral:tRNA from 1 species
GGGACUUUAGCUCAGAAGGUCAGAGCAUCCGACUCAUAAUCGGGCGGUCACUGGUUCGAAACCAGUAAGUCCCACCA